rnacentral:rRNA from 1 species
AACCACANAAGUCGGCAACACCCGAAGCCGGUGGCCUAACCCGUAAGGGGAGGAGCCGUCGAAGGUGGGGUCGGUGAUUGGGGGUG